GGCACACGGGCUGCAGGCAUAG
rnacentral:miRNA from 1 species